UACGUAGGGUGCAAGCGUUUAAUCGGAAUUACUGGGCGUAAAGCGUGCGCAGGCGGUUAUGCAAGACAGAUGUGAAAUCCCCGGGCUCAACCUGGGAACUGCAUUUGUGACUGCAUAGCUAGAGUACGGUAGAGGGGGAUGGAAUUCCGCGUGUAGCAGUGAAAUGCGUAGAGAUGCGGAGGAACACCGAUGGCGAAGGCAGCCCCCUGGGCUAACACUGACGCUCAGGCACGAAAGCGUGGGGGAGAAACAGG
rnacentral:rRNA from 1 species